AUUUUUCUUACUCCUCGUGCCGGUCAACAGGAAAACAGCGAGUGUGUUAUCUCAUCGCGGGCGUGUGAUUGCGUGUGGCAAUACACACUUUGAAUUUUACACAAUUUCGAUGCUGCAACCUAAGUGUAUACAUGCGAAUAGGAUUGCUUAAAUGAAAAAGUAAAGUAGGAGUUGGGUGAUGUGUUUGUCCUCGUUUGUGUGCAAGGAAGCAAACAUGCUGAAGGCUGCUGCGCAAAGGCAACUACGCAGAGCGUGUCGGGGCAGGCGCCCCGGUCUACUUGGCCGCGGUGAUGGAGUACCUGGCCGCCGAGGUGCUGGAGCUGGCGGGCAAUGCUGCGCGCGACAACAAGAAGACCAGGAUCAUCCCGCGUCACCUUCAGCUGGCCAUUCGCAACGACGAGGAGCUCAAUAAGCUCCUGUCAGGCGUGACCAUUGCCCAGGGUGGCGUUCUGCCCAACAUUCAGGCAGUGCUGCUGCCCAAGAAAACCGAGAAGAAAGCCUAAGCCCCUUGUUUGCUUCUCAGGUUUGAAAAAAAAAA